GACGAUCGCUGGCGGCGUGCUUAACACAUGCAAGUCGAACGGUGAAGCGCUUUCCUUUUUGGUUGGUGUGGAUGAGUGGCGAACGGGUGAGUAACACGUGAGUAACCUGCCCCCUUCUUCUGGAUAACCGCAUGAAAGUGUGGCUAAUACGGGAUAUUCUGCGCCUGCUGCAUGGUGGGUGUGGGAAAGAUUGUGCCUUUGGGUGUUUUCGGUGGGGGAUGGGCUCGCGGCCUAUCAGCUUGUUGGUGGGGUGAUGGCCUACCAAGGCGGUGACGGGUAGCCGGCCUGAGAGGGUGGACGGUCACACUGGGACUGAGACACGGCCCAGACUCCUACGGGAGGCAGCAGUGGGGAAUAGUGCACAAUGGGCGCAAGCCUGAUGCAGCGACGCCGCGUGAGGGAGGGAGGCCUUCGGGUUGUGAACCUCUUUCGCCAGUGAAGCAGGCCUGCUCCGUGUGGGUGGGUUGACGGUAGCUGGAUAAGAAGCGCCGGCUAACUACGUG
rnacentral:rRNA from 1 species